rnacentral:rRNA from 1 species
GACGAACGCUGGCGGCGUGCUUAACACAUGCAAGUCGAACGGUGAAGCGCCUUCCUUUUUGGUGGGUGUGGAUGAGUGGCGAACGGGUGAGUAACACGUGAGUAACCUGCCCCCUUCUUCUGGAUAACCGCAUGAAAGUGUGGCUAAUACGGGAUAUUCUGGGUCUGUCGCAUGAUGGGUCUGGGAAAGAUAUUGUUUCGGUGGGGGAUGGGCUCGCGGCCUAUCAGCUUGUUGGUGGGGUGAUGGCCUACCAAGGCGGUGACGGGUAGCCGGCCUGAGAGGGUGGACGGUCACACUGGGACUGAGACACGGCCCAGACUCCUACGGGAGGCAGCAGUGGGGAAUAUUGCACAAUGGGCGCAAGCCUGAUGCAGCGACGCCGCGUGAGGGAUGGAGGCCUGCGGGUUGUGAACCUCUUUCGCCAGUGAAGCAGGCCUGCCUCAUUUGUGGGUGGGUUGACGGUAGCUGGAGAAGAAGCGCCGGCUAACUACGUG